rnacentral:rRNA from 1 species
AAAGGAGGGGCAAUACCGAAUAUUGUCCGGAACCGUGAAGGGUUUCGGGGAAAGGGAGGCCUCUGACACAAGCUUUCGCCUUAAGAUGAGCCCAUGGCCCAUCAGCUAGUUGGUAGGGUAAAGGCCUACCAAGGCUACGACGGGUCGCUGGUCUGAGAGGACGACCAGCCACACUGGCACUGAGAUACGGGCCAGACUCCUACGGGAGGCAGCAGUGAGGAAUAUUGCGCAAUGGGGGAAACCCUGACGCAGCAACGCCGCGUGUGGGAAGAAGGCCUUCGGGUCGUAAACCACUUUUACUCGGGACGAAAAAGGGAUAUCAAAUAAAUAUCCCCGAUGACGGUACCGUGAGAAUAAGCCACGGCUAACUCUGUGCCAGCAGCCGCGGUAAGACAGAGGUGGCAAGCGUUGUUCGGAAUUACUGGGCGUAAAGAGUCUGUAGGUGGUUUGUCAAGUCUUUGGUGAAAGGCCGUAGCUUAACUAUGGGAAUGCCAAAGAGACUGGCAGGCUGGAGGCUGGGAGAGGGAAGCGGAAUUUCUGGUGUAGCGGUGAAAUGCGUAGAUAUCAGAAGGAAGGCCGGUGGCGAAGGCGGCUUCCUGGAACAGUCCUGACACUGAGAGACGAAAGCGUGGGGAGCAAACAGGAUUAGAUACCCUGGUAGUCCACGCCCUAAAACGAUGGGUACUAAGUGUGGAGGGGUUAAACCCUCCGUGCCGCAGCUAACGCAAUAAGUACCCCGCCUGGGGGAGUACGGCCGCAAGGUUGAAAACUCAAAGGAAUUGACGG